rnacentral:lncRNA from 1 species
AUGUCUUCCCCUACAUUUACCAUGCCAUUGCUCUCCUUAUUGUUCUUCUUCUCGAUCUUUUGUAUCAUUGCUCAGGCUCAAGUUCCUGCCAAUGAAACUUUCAAGCUUGUCAACGAGGGAGAAUUCGGGCCUUAUGUUGUGGAAUAUUUUGGAGAUUAUCGUAUGCUGCCUGAUGUCUUUAACUCCCCCUUCCAGCUUGGCUUCUACAACACCACCCCUAAUGCCUUCACUCUUGCUCUACGCAUGGGCUUGGUGCGUUCUGAGUCACUCAUGCGUUGGGUUUGGGAGGCCAACCGAGGUAACCCAGUUGGCGAAAAAGCCACCCUCACGUUUGGGACAGAUGGCAACCUUGUAUUGGCUGAUGCCGAUGGCCGAGUG